rnacentral:rRNA from 1 species
UACAGAGGUCCCAAGCGUUGUUCGGAUUCACUGGGCGUAAAGGGUGCGUAGGUGGCUUGGUAAGUUUGAUGUGAAAGCUCAGGGCUCAACCCUGAAAUGGCAUUGAAUACUACUGAGCUGGAGGUUUGGAGGGGGGACUGGAAUUCUCGGUGUAGCAGUGAAAUGCGUAGAUAUCAAGAGGAACACCUGCGGCGAAGGCGGGUUGCUGGGCCGACACUGACGCUGAGGCGCGAAAGCCAGGGGAGCGAACGGG